UUCCAUGGUGCCGAGGGGCGGGGCCGGCUCCGACGGCUGACGGGUGGCCCCGGGCAUGGCCGGGGGCUGCGCCGUGGCCGCGAACUGCGGGGCCGAAAUGGCGUUCUGCCACCUGGGGCAGUAGCUCCAUGCAGCCGCAGGGAGAUCUGGCGCUGCACUGCAGAUGCUACAUGUCAAAAUCGAGGUACAGGAUGUAGUUUGGAAGAUAAGUGACAUCCCAAGAUCAAAAACGGCCUUGAGAUGGAGAAAAUUAGAACGACUUUAGACAUUGGGCCUAAAAAUCAGUAAAUAUCAGACUAAUUAGUAGACCAACAUACCACAACGCUUAGUAUGCACGCGCAAACCUGUAAGGACAACGAGGAAGAGGAGAAGCCUUUGCCAAAAGAUCACCAAAAGAAGACUGAAGACCCCCUACCAACAAGUGCAGCACGUGCUGUGAAGAAAAGUGAUGUAAAGUCAGAAAAAUCAGAAACAGGAGGAAACUUACAGGAAACAUUAAUGAAUAUGUAUAAGUACACUAAGUUUAGCUUGAAGUGCUUUGUUUUGUAAGUGAGGCAGGGUGGGAACCUCCUCCGUAACCUGGUCGGUUUUGUACAUGAGAUAGGGUAACAAGCCCUCCUCGGUCAGUUUUGCUUAUGCUUUAAUCAUACUUAAUUACUGGCAAAUUAUAUAUAUAAAUUGUAAUCUUUUUAUUAAAUUAUAUUCUUUUACUAAAAUGCAUUCUUGUAUACCAAAUUACUCUACAAUUUACUAAAUUCAUUUUUAAAUAAACUGCCAUUAACCCAAGGGA